UUAUGCAGGUUUUGCUUCUGUUUCCACAAGAGAAGAAAAAGCUAUGGAUGCCAUCAAGAUUAAUAAAGAUUUAGAUUUGAGCAUGAGAGACUGCUUAAUUAAGGAGAGGUGAUAGUUCGUCAAACACUUGGCCAUUCAAUCCAAACACUUUUCACACAACUAAGAAAUGGAACCCAGCCUAGAUGUUGAUCAACAGAUGAAUGGGUAAGGGAAAUUGCUACAUAUGCCCAAUGGAAUUUCAUUCACCUGUAAAGAAAAAUAAAACUAUCAGGAAAACAGAAGAAACUUAAAAUUGCAUUAAGCAAAGUGGCCCAAACUCAGAAAGUUUUAAGAAAGGAAUGACACAAAUGAACAUGCAUAAUAUUUCGGCACCAGGGCUGACAAGAAGACUCAACAAAGUCUUGUUUCUAAGUCUGAUGACCAGAGUUCAAUCCCCAGGACUCAUGUGGUGG